rnacentral:tRNA from 1 species
GCCGUGAUCGUAUAGUGGUUAGUACUUCGCGUUGUGGUCUGACAACCCAGGUUCGAAUCCUGGUCACGGCA